AUAAUUAUAGCUUAUUUUUAGAGUUUAAUAUUGAAGUUAUUAAGGUGAUUUUUUCUAAUUAUA
rnacentral:tRNA from 1 species